rnacentral:rRNA from 1 species
CAAUAGCGUAUAUUAAAGCUGUUGCGGUUAAAAAGCUCGCAGUUGGAUUUCUGUCAAGGACAACUGGUCCGCCCCUCGGGUGAGCACAUAGUUUGGUCUUGGCAUCUUGUUGGAAACUGUUGCUGCACUUGGUUGUGUGGCGCAGUGUCCAGCACUUUCACUUUGAGGAAAUUGGAGUGUUUCAAGCAGGCACAUGCCUUUGGACACAGUAGCAUGGAAUAAUUAGAUUGGGCUUUUGCUCCAACUUGUCGGUUUCUGGAGCUGAGGUGAGAAUUAAUGGGGAUUGUUGGGGGCAUCCGAAUUUAGCCGUCAGAGGUGAAAUUCUUGGAUCUGCUAAAGACGGACAACUGCGAAAGCGUUUGCCCAGGAUGUUUUCAUUGA